ACCUAGUUGAUGAGUCCCAAAUAGGACGAAACGUGCGUUCUAGAU
rnacentral:hammerhead_ribozyme from 1 species